rnacentral:lncRNA from 1 species
AAGAGAUCAAAUUUAGGGUUACUAAUAGACAACUCUGCUUUAUGUAUUUUCUCAUGUUGGGUACUAUGAAGAACACUAAAUCCACACCUCAAUCUACUUAAGACUCUCCCUCUCAACUUCAAGUUUACAGAAAAAUACAAGGGAUAGCAGGAAGAAUUUAAACAUGAAGAGGAACUACCACUAAAUACUGUAUAGAAUGUGGGUUCUUCUACAAGAUUAAUGACUUAAUCUCUUUAAAAGGUUGUCAUUUUUAAAAAAAGGAAGGAAGGAAAAGAAAAAAGAUUAAAUUAAAAGAGACCAAGACAAACAAAUGUAAUAAAAGCUCCAGGUUCUAAAUACCAGGGAUCAAACUCAGGACCUGGUGCUUGCCAGGUAGACGCUGCGCUGCUGAGCUACAUCUCCGGCAGUCAUUUGUUUUUCUGACAGCUACCUUUUCUAGCUCUUCUACCUCCGGACCAAGCUAUGUGGUUGUUUCUGGCAAGUGGAUGUAGACAAAAGUAGCUCAUCCAAUAGAAUGGCAUAUUUGCUUGCAAAGGUCUCACUCAGGCCAGGCAUUACACAGUGGAGACCCCAGAAGUUUGGAGAAGAUAGGAGCAUGGAUCGUCUGAGGAAAGCUACAAGGAAGGUUCAGAGCUGGCCCAAAAGAAAAACCAUGGGAGCUACAACUCUCUGCAGUGCUACAGGGGCAGAGCCACCCAAGCCCUUUGGCAUUCACAACUUGCCACAGAUUGCCUUGGAUACUGCACAUGGAACUACAGGACUUAAUAUUUGCCCUGCUGGAUUUUGGACUUGCUUUGGUUCUGUUCUUUGUUUCUCCCUGUUUGUACCUUUUGGAAUGAGAAUGUCUAUCUUAUGCCAUUGAAUGUUGGAAGGAUUUAACUUUCUUUUCAUUUGUGCAGGGGCUCACAGCUAAGAGUUUGACUUAAAUCUCAGAGGAGACUUGGGACUUGAACUUUUCAGCAAUGCUGAAACUGUUAGGACUUUGACAACUCUUAAAGUUGGACUAAAUGCCUUUUGUAUAAAGGGAUAUGCAUAUGCAUGAGUCUUUGAGGGGCCAGGGGUGAAAUGUUAUGGUUUGUGUCUAGAUGUCCCCCUAUAACCUGACCUUGUGGAAGUUUUGAAAAACUAGGUAGAGCCAUCAAUUGGCUCAACACUCUUCUCCCUAAGGAGAUAGUGGUCCCUUGUAUGGAAAGAGAAAGUCCUCAGUAGGGCUUUCUUUAAUGCUUCUAUGAAAGAUGAUGGCAUCAUCUUAGCUUCAGACAGAGACAUCUGUCCAGUGAAUAUGCAAGUCUCACAAGGGACAUUUUGUGUGCUCAUUGAGUCUCCUCCUUCUGCAUGGGAUACCAUUUUAAAGACCUGAAAUCUACUUGUCUCUCUGUAUAGGACCCAAGAUGAGCCAUGGUAAACCUCACAAACUAUAACUUGUAGAUUCCACAGACUUCACUACUAGGCCUUAUCUUGAUCAAUGGGAAAGCUUUGACCCUGCCAAUUUAAAAAGGAGCAGAUAAUGCUAUUAUUGCAAUAUGCUUUGUGUUCAGUAUAAACUAGGAAAUGGCAAAAGAUGGGUACAAGAUGGCAGCUGCAGCUAUGCUAACAUAGGAAGUCUUUAGGACAGAAACUAGAAGUCUUGACUCCCCAUCAGGUAAGAGUGAUUCUUGAGACCAAAAUUUGGUUGUGGUUAACAGGGGAAUGGCUUCCCAAGUAUCAGGCCAUACCCUUAGGCAUCUCUGAGGUUAUUAUAAAAUUUUCACUACUCCUAAUGUUGCCCCUCUGAUGCUUACAGGCCCAGAAAUUAGCCACUUUGUAAACAAGUGAUCUCCCAGACCUAGCAAGCAGGCAGGACAUCAGUGACCUGCCCCUGCAAGACCCCAAAGAGGUGUGGUUCACUGAUGAAAGUAGCUUUAUUCAAAAAGGACAUCAAAGGGAAGUUCCAUUUAUAGCAGUUCAUUGGAACCAACUUCCCCUAGCUCUUAUUGAUACUAGGAAAAGUCAAGAUGCUUUAUAUUUAUACAGACUCCAAAUAUGUUUUUCUGGUGUUACAUGGCUAUGCAGCAAUCUAUAAAGAAGAAGAUUGCUAACUAAUAAGAAAUCAUCUACACAACACAAACAGGAAGUUCUAUAACUCUUACAGGUAGUCUCUUCCCAAGCAGGUAGCUGUCAUUCAUUCCAAGGAAUUCUAAAGGGACAUGGACAAAUUCUACUUGAAAAAUCAAAAGACUGAUAGGGAGGCAAGAAGAGCAGUCCUAUAGCCACUCAAGAGCCUAGCCUUAUUCCAAGUUCCUUAGGGACCAUUCUGGUCCUCCUCAAGAGACAUAGUGACAAGCUAUAAAAAUCUUACAUGGGAAAUGAUACUAGAAAUUUCACUGGAAAAAGAAAAAUGCUAUCCCUGAGAACGUCUGGAAGACCUGAAGCUCCUGUUCAGAAAGCAAGACUCUAGUAUUUCUCUGGGUGAAGAUAAGUACAGUUGCUAAUGACCCUAAUUCACCACACAUUAAAUGAACCCCCGUAGUGAGACUCCUGGGUUUAAAAAAAUUUUUAUUAGUAUAUAGUUGUCAUACAUAUUGAUCGCAUUCAUCAUAAGGAAUUUCUACCUGUACAUAAUGUAUCUUAAUUCUUCUUUUUUUUCCCCAUUCCUCUUCCGUCCCUUUAACUCUUCUUCCCUUCUGUAUUUAUAAAAGCUUUGUUUCUAUUUUUUCCCUUCCUCUCUCUUUCUUUUUUCCUUUUCCCUUUCUUCUCUUCCCCCA